rnacentral:rRNA from 1 species
AGAGUUUGAUCCUGGCUCAGAUUGAACGCUGGCGGCAGGCCUAACACAUGCAAGUCGAGCGGAUGAAGAGAGCUUGCUCUCUGAUUCAGCGGCGGACGGGUGAGUAAUGCCUAGGAAUCUGCCUGAUAGUGGGGGACAACGUUUCGAAAGGAACGCUAAUACCGCAUACGUCCUACGGGAGAAAGCAGGGGACCUUCGGGCCUUGCGCUAUCAGAUGAGCCUAGGUCGGAUUAGCUAGUUGGUGAGGCAAUGGCUCACCAAGGCGACGAUCCGUAACUGGUCUGAGAGGAUGAUCAGUCACACUGGAACUGAGACACGGUCCAGACUCCUACGGGAGGCAGCAGUGGGGAAUAUUGGACAAUGGGCGAAAGCCUGAUCCAGCCAUGCCGCGUGUGUGAAGAAGGUCUUCGGAUUGUAAAGCACUUUAAGUUGGGAGGAAGGGCAUUAACCUAAUACGUUAGUGUUUUGACGUUACCGACAGAAUAAGCACCUGCUAACUUCGUGCCAGCAGCCGCGGUAAUACGAAGGGUGCAAGCGUUAAUCGGAAUUACUGGGCGUAAAGCGCGCGUAGGUGGUUCGUUAAGUUGGAUGUGAAAGCCCCGGGCUCAACCUGGGAACUGCGUCCAAAACUGGCGAGCUAGAGUAUGGCAGAGGGUGGUGGAAUUUCCUGUGUAGCGGUGAAAUGCGUAGAUAUAGGAAGGAACGCCAGUGGCGAAGGCGACCACCUGGGCUAAUACUGACACUGAGGUGCGAAAGCGUGGGGAGCAAACAGGAUUAGAUACCCUGGUAGUCCACGCCGUAAACGAUGUCGACUAGCCGUUGGGAUCCUUGAGAUCUUAGUGGCGCAGCUAACGCAUUAAGUCGACCGCCUGGGGAGUACGGGCCGCAAGGUUAAAACUCAAAUGAAUUGACGGGGGCCCGCACAAG